rnacentral:rRNA from 1 species
UGCCACUCUUAACGGGGUGGCUUUUCAGAAGUGUAAAAAGCUUCUGGAAUAAGGGCUGGGCAAGACCGGUGCCAGCCGCCGCGGUAACACCGGCAGCUCAAGUGGUAGCCGCUUUUAUUGGGCCUAAAGCGUCCGUAGCCGGUCUGAUAAGUCUCUGAUGAAAUCCCACAGCUUAACUGUGGGAAUUGCUGGAGAUACUAUCAUGACUCGAGGUCGGGAGAGGCUGGAGGUACUCCCAGGGUAGGGGUGAAAUCCUGUAAUCCUGGGAGGACCACCUGUGGCGAAGGCGUCCAGCUGGAACGAACCUGACGGUGAGGGACGAAAGCCAGGGGCGCGAACCGGAUUAGAUACCCGGGUAGUCCUGGCCGUAAACGAUGUGGACUUGGUGUUGAGAUGGCUUCGAGCUGCCCCAGUGCCGAAGGGAAGCUGUUAAGUCCACCGCCUGGGAAGUACGGCCGCA